GAACUGCGAUAAGUAAUGUGAAUUGCAGAAUUCAGUGAAUCAUCGAAUCUUUGAACGCACCUUGCGCUCCUUGGUAUUCCUUGGAGCAUGCCUGUUUGAGUAUCAUGAAAUCUUCAAAGUAAAUCUUUUGUUAACUCAAUUGGUUUCUACUUUGGUAUUGGAGGUCUUUGCAGCUUCACACCUGCUCCUCUUUGUUCAUUAGCUGGAUCUCAGUGUUAUGCUUGGUUCCACUCGGCGUGAUAAGUUAUCUAUCGCUGAGGACACUGUAAAAGGUGGCCAAGGUAAAUGCAGAUGAACCGCUUCUAAUAGUCCAUUGACUUGGACAAUACUUUUAUGAUCUGAUCUCAAAUCAGGUAGGGCUACCCGCUGAACUUAAGC
rnacentral:misc_RNA from 1 species